GACGAACGCUGGCGGCGUGCCUAAUACAUGCAAGUAGAACGCUGAAGCGAGGAGCUUCCUCUUCUUGGAUGAGUUGCGAACGGGUGAGUAACGCGUAGGUAACCUGCCUUGUAGCGGGGGAUAACUAUUGGAAACGAUAGCUAAUACCGCAUAACAAUGGAUGACACAUGUCAUUUAUUUGAAAGGGGCAAUUGCUCCACUACAAGAUGGACCUGCGUUGCAUUAGCUAGUAGGUGAGGUAAUGGCUCACCUAGGCGACGAUACAUAGCCGACCUGAGAGGGUGAUCGGCCACACUGGGACUGAGACACGGCCCAGACUCCUACGGGAGGCAGCAGUAGGGAAUCUUCGGCAAUGGGGGCAACCCUGACCGAGCAACGCCGCGUGAGUGAAGAAGGGUUUCGGAUCGUAAAGCUCUGUUGUAAGUCAAGAACGGGUGUGAGAGUGGAAAGUUCACACUGUGACGGUAGCUGACCAGAAAGGGACGGCUAACUACGUG
rnacentral:rRNA from 1 species